ensembl:lncRNA
UAUAUAUAUAUAUAUAUAUAUAUAUAUAUAUAUAUAUAUAUAGAUAUAUAUGUAUGUAUGUAUGUAUAUAGAUAGAUAGAUAGAUAGACAGAUAGAUACAUAUACAUAUACAUAUGUAUAUGUAUAUGUAUAUAUGACUCAAUGCCCCGCACCUGGAUCCUGGAAUGCCUAGAAAUAUACUGCAUAGUUCUGCAUAGGGCUGAACCCCCUCAGUGAGAUCAUCAACAAGACUGGCUAUGGAUACCGACUACAGAGUGGAGCAGUUGUCAGCCACUUCCUGUACAUGGAUGACAUCAAGCUGUAUGCCAAGAGUGAAUGAGACUGAUCCACACCACCAGUAUAUACAGAAAUGACAUCGGAAUGUCGUUUGACUGGAGAAAUGUAGUUGGAUGAUAACAAAGAGAGGGAAGGUAGUCAGAACUGAGGGGAUCGAACUACCAGAAUGCAACAUUGCAGGCACAGAGGACAGCCACAAUUACCUGGGGAUCCCAGGUCAGGCAAGUCCUGAGGAGUCAACAGAAUGGGAAGAACAAGAUCCGGGCUAUCAACACCUACGCCCUGCCCGUGAUCAGGUACCCUGCUGGGAUAAUAAGCUGACCAAAGGAGGAGAUAGAAGCCACUGACAUCAAGACAAGGAACUUCUGACCAUGCAUGGAGGGUUUCACCCCAAGUCCAGCACCCUGAGGCUGUACGCUAAACGGAAGGAAGAAGGCCAACGGACAUCGAUGAAUGCAUCUUCCUGAUGCAUUUGUGGAUGUCCGUUGGCCCCAACCGACCGCGUGCUCAGUGAAUACCUCAGGCAACAGAAACACGAGGAAGAGGAGGAACCAUCAUGGAAGGAUGGUACGGCACGGUAUGUACCACAGGCAGAUAGAGGAGGUGGCUGGCAUCCAGAAAUCCUACCAGUGGCUGGACAAAGCUGGACUGAAAGACGGCACAGAGGCACUAAUCAUGGCAGCACAGGAACAAGCUCUGAGCACAAGAUCCAUAGAGGCUGGGGUCUAUCACACCAGGCAAGACCCCAGGUGCAGGCUGUGCAAAGAUGCCCCUGAGACAAUCCAGCCCAUAACAGCAGGGUGCAAGAUGCUAGCAAGCAGGAAGAAGGAUAAUGAGAAGCUUGAGAAAUACCAAGGGCUCAGAGAAGAUGUGGAGGGUGAAGGUUCCCAUUGGUAAUCGAAACACUAGGUGCAGUGACUCUAAAGCUAGGCGAGUGGCUCCAGCAGAUCCCAGGAACACCAUUGGACAUCUCUGUCCAGAAAAGCGCAGUCCUAGGAACAGCUAAGAUACUGCGCAGGACCCUCAAGCUCCCAGGCCUCUGGUAGAGGACCCGAGGAUAGACCGACCGCAGGGGCGAGUGGGGAAUUCUAACAAAGAUGUCUUGAUUUAAAAAAAAAAUAGAUAACUAACAGACGUUAAAAUAUUUCAAUAUAUUUCAAAUAAAGUCAUAAUUAGAGGGGACGCCCAUGAGAGCACUCAGCCUCACCAAAUUAACAUCUGCCCUGUUGUUGAGAAUAAAACAGACUUUGGGCAGGUAAGCAAACAAAUCUGAACAAAUUUGAACUUUGAUGUUAAACAAGAGCUGAAGUAAAACAGCCUCCACCUACAAACACAUGCAUUAUAAAACAAGUCUAAACGCUCACUGGAGGCUGAUUACAAAAUGAGAGGACUCACACUGCUCUGUUUGGUGGGAUUCAUUCUCACAGCUUUGCUGCAUGAAGGAAGCACAGCACCAGCAAAGAAUAAUGUCCAUAAUGAAGGCAACUCAGAAAAGACCAUAAUCUCAGUGUUGUGCCAUGGGUGCUGGCAUGGCUUUGAAGGUACACGUGAUGCAACCGAAUCAGCUGAGGGAAAUGACACACAGAACAAGACCUUGCAUCUUCAUCCAAAUAAUGCUACUCAUGCUGGAAAUGCCACAGAGGUUCAUCACAACAAUACAGCUGCAGCAACAGUGAAAGAAGACGUGUGAUGCUAAAAAUGUGGAAACAUGAAUCUUCACAGAGACAGACGACCGUGAUUCUGCUGGUGUUACUGUCUACUCUGAAUAAACACUAAAAUGAUGUUUUGAGAAAAAGAUUUUCUUAUUUGUUAACAUGUAUCCUAUAGGAUCAUUUAAAAUGUGUUUUUUAAACACAUUUAAGAGCUUAAACGUUCAUGUCCAAACACACAUAAAACACCUAUUCUGACAAAAUGAGUCGGUGCCACACUGACACUCUGCUGUCUUGCUUCUUCAUGAGUAUCAUCACUGUGGUUGAUCUAAAUUCCCAUCUUUUGUCCUUUUGCUGUUUUAAACACCAAAUCCACAAAAACGGUUUGUGACAAACUAACUCGACAUGACAGCACCUGUGUGUUACAGGGAGCUGCUCCCUGCUUUUACAAAUUUACACCAUUAAUACAAAAUAACCUGACUCGCACUGCUGUAUUCUCACAGCAUCACAGAGACACUCAUAUCACUGAUGGAUGUUCACAGAGUUACUGAACAGAAAAAAUUAAAUGCAUAUAUAUUUAGAUUUUUGUAGUUUUAUAAUUUUUGGACCAGAUGGAAACACAAGCUUGACUUAAAUAUAUUUUUUCACUAAGAAUCGGCUGGAGUGUGGCUCAUGCUGCUGAGCCUCUAAGAUUCGAUGAAUAAUUACUUUGCUGUUUUGUUUGCAAAAAGUGUUUUUUGUAACUUUUAAAACAAGUACUAUUAUGCACGACUAAAGAAGCCAUAAAUAAAAAAGUUAUUUUGUGUACCUUAACUGUUAUGCUUCGUUGUAAAAAUCACCUAUUUACAGCGUCUCAAAUGAUCAAAACAAAAGCAAAUAUAAUGACUUUUUUGGCUGUGUCACUGUGUAAUUUAUGUUUCUGUGUGUGUUAAAAUUAUGUAAAGUCAUUAUUUGACAGAAACGAUUCAGUUUUACGUAGUUAGAGUACAGAUGAUGAAACAGCUGCACACAGAGGUUACUAUUGUUAGUUUUAAACCUUUAUCACAUAAUUUACAUAUUCAGUUUCAGUUCUCAGAAUCCAAAAAGAAGAAGCAAAAUGUUACAAUUUCUUUCUUCUUUGUGUCAACUUCUGCCUGUACUUAUUUUUGUCUCUUUUCACACUUGAAAGGAUAUUUGUAAAAGAGCAAGCUCAAGCUUCUUAUUAGUUUAUUGUAUAUAUUUUCUAUUUUAGACCGCACACUGGCACCCUCUCGAAAAUCCUCUUUCUUUUCCAACUGAACCAACAAGCAACGAGACCUUGCAUCCAAAUAAUUCUACUCAUGCUGGAAAUGCCACAGAGGUUCAUCACAACAAUACAGCUGCAGCAAAACUGAUAGAAGACCCGUGAUGCUAAAAAUGUGGAAACAUGAAUCUUCACAGAGACAGACGACCGUGAUUCUGCUGGUGUUACUGUCUACUCUGAAUAAACACUAAAAUGAUGUUUUGAGAAAAAGAUUUUCUUAUUUGUUAACAUGUAUCCUAUAGGAUCAUUUAAAAUGUGUUUUUUAAACACAUUUAAGAGCUUAAACGUUCAUGUCCAAACACACAUAAAACACCUAUUCUGACAAAAUGAGUCGGUGCCACACUGACACUCUGCUGUCUUGCUUCUUCAUGAGUAUCAUCACUGUGGUUGAUCUAAAUUCCCAUCUUUUGUCCUUUUGCUGUUUUAAACACCAAAUCCACAAAAACGGUUUGUGACAAACUAACUCGACAUGACAGCACCUGUGUGUUACAGGAGCUGCUCCUGCUUUACAAAUUUACACCAUUAAUACAAAAUAACCUGACUCGCACUGCUGUAUUCUCACAGCAUCACAGAGACACUCAUAUCACUGAUGGAUGUUCACAGAGUUACUGAACAGAAAAAAUUAAAUGCAUAUAUAUUUAGAUUUUUGUAGUUUUAUAAUUUUUGGACCAGAUGGAAACACAAGCUUGACUUAAAUAUAUUUUUUCACCAAGAAUCGGCUGGAGUGUGUCUCAUGCUGCUGAGCCUCUAAGAUUCGAUGAAUAAUUACUUUGCUGUUUUGUUUGCAAAAAGUGUUUUUUGUAACUUUUAAAACAAGUACUAUUAUGCACGACUAAAGAAGCCAUAAAUAAAAAAGUUAUUUUGUGUACCUUAACUGUUAUGCUUCGUUGUAAAAAUCACCUAUUUACAGCGUCUCAAAUGAUCAAAACAAAAGCAAAUAUAAUGACUUUUUUGGCUGUGUCACUGUGUAAUUUAUGUUUCUGUGUGUUAAAAUUAUGUAAAGUCAUUAUUUGACAGAAACGAUUCAGUUUUACGUAGUUAGAGUACAGAUGAUGAAACAGCUGCACACAGAGGUUACUAUUGUUAGUUUUAAACCUUUAUCACAUAAUUUACAUAUUCAGUUUCAGUUCUCAGAAUCC